GAAACAAUGUAGCAGCCUAGCGUGUUUGUGACAGACCUGAUCGCAAAGGCAAAACAACCCUUCCUUAGUGUUGUUAUGAAGCGCUCUGUAGAAGACGCAACAAUCUUUGCCUAGCUGUGAAGAAUCGUCACUGACCAAUCUACACAAUCCAUCAAAUGGUGGACCAAUUUUCAAAGGAUAACCCAGGGAAAUUGGUUGAAAAGGCUGUGUUUUAUAAUGGACAAAUGGGGCAGCAAUGUGAAUGCCAUCGAGCUCCUCAUUGUUUGAAGAACUUGCAGUUUUGGAGAACGUCCAGGAAAUCGUAAAAGGUGAACAGCUGACAAACCACCAAUGCAUUAUGCAUCGAGAAUCUCCAGUGGGCUUAAGAGCCAACCUGAAGCCGGUAGUGAAUGUGGUCAACAUAGUGGUCAAUUUAUGGAAACACUGGCUCUGAGCAACAACCAGUUUCAGAGUCUGCUGGAGGAAUUCAAUGCAAAAUAUACGGAUUUACACCAAAAUGAUGUAUGCUGGCUCAUAAUGGUUUGCAACGCAUUCACUUUGAGUUGCAUCACAAAAUUAUACCUCUUACUGGAGCAAGGAAUAAUCAGUAUCAGGGCUCUGCAGUGGGAUCUGGUGGAUUUCUCUUUGUUUUUCCCUAGACUUUGGAACGCUGGAAGAUUUUCUUCAAGAAACUGAGGUUAAUACGUCAUGAAAAGAGCUUACUGAGUUGUGCUCAUGCUUUUGAGACAAACUUUGACUGUUUGACUGUAACUUGGUCUUGUAGUGAGUUGUUACAAUUUCCCUUCUACUGUAAUUGAAAAGAAACUGGAGUGGCCUGUCAAUUAGACAGUUCUUCAACAGUAAGAAUUGUUUUCCAGUUCCUUCCAAGAAUCAAUGACAUCACCAUUUGAGAAUACAACUUUUGACUGGAGAUGCAAAUGAAAUUGACCAAAUUCUGACACAAUAAAGAGAAGGUUUAAUAUGGGUGCAUUAGCAUUCUGUAAAUACUCUUAGGAGUGAUUUGGAGAUUGCAAGAUCUUGCCUUUAUUAAUUAGCAGCACAUACUUUACAGAAAAAAAUCACAAAUCAAUCUGUAGCACUUCCACUGAUGUUUGAGAACCCUCAGUAUCUUCAGGGCAAUCUUCAGUUGUUGGCAACGAAGUUGUCAUGGUAAAUGCAGUUUCCAGUGAUGCAGAACUGAAUUAAUAAACAGACAGUACACAACAAAUGUUCAACAAAAAGUUGUUUUAUACAUAAUAAAGUCCAUCUGCUCCUAUAAUGUGCAAAAUGGUAUGAAUGUUUCAAAUAUGUGUAAUACAUAUCAAAAAAUAAAUCAAUUGCAUUGGA